CACACAGGGCUCUGUUGGGGCCAAAUGUACAUUACACAGUGAGAUAGUAGAGAUACUUCACACAGGCAAAAUAUGCUGAAUAGCAAGACAAAAAACAGCCCUUUUUAUUUUUUUAGUUUCAGGGGAACUUGAUGUGAUUGAAGAGCAGUGGUGUCUUCCUUAGCGGAGAAAGACGAAAAUGGGGCAAAAAAUCACCUAAUGGAUGGGUACCAGGGAGUCUUCAACAUCAGUUGUGGGAGUGAUUGGCAGCUGUUCUUCUUUGACCUUCAACAACUCCACAACAUAAAGUUCCUCUGAGAGACCAGGCAAAAUAGAAAGCUGCUUCAUUUCCUCUGUCUCCAAGGCACAGCUGAAAGCCCACUACAUUUGGAUCUUUGAAGUACCUUCUCCAAAAUGUUAACUUUUUAUCUUCUGACUUUCCACAUGAGGUGAAGGGCAGAAUAGCAGAGCAUGUACAGCUCUGGCAAAACUGCAUUUUUUGGUAAAAAGUGGGAAGUCUUCUAGAAUUAAGCUGGAGGACAGGAAUGGGUGUCCUGAAUAACCAGAAAGAAUUACAUUUAUAAACUCCCAAACACUGAGUUACAGACAAUCUGUGUGUGAAGUAGUAACAACAAUUUCAAAAUGGGAAAGUGGUCACUGAUUAGGGAAGAAUUUGAUUUGAGAGCGAUUCUUAAGGAAAAUUUAGAGGUCAGUGAUGCAGUGCUAGUGCUACAACAGAAAUGCCCAGUAGAAACAUUAGUAUAUUGGUCAGUUUAAGAAUCAAAACCCAUGCUCUGCACUUAUUGCCGAAAAUUAAAAUACACUGGGCAAGUUUUUACUCUGAAUUGAGCACUUACUUCUUGAAGGUUUCACAUCACCUUUCCUCUCCAUUUUUUUUGCCCUCCAAGAGUUUUUUUUUACUGUGUUUUAUUAUAAUUUCAAUUUAUGAUAACUGCAAAUCAGUCUCCCCAGAUCCUGCUUUGCCAAGGACUCUUGGGGUCCUUCCCCAUCGGCAGUACUGCUGCCUUCUGCACUAAGACACUGCAGGGUAUAUUUCUGUGAAUGGUCAAGAUAACACCUGGGAGGUCUGGCAUCAAGAAAUGUACAGAACUUCAUGGUAAGUUUUACUCUGUGGAGAGUAAAAGCUCCAAGCUACACUAGCCCUUGGAACAGACAAAGUGGCAUUCCGUAAAGAAGCUGAGAAUUUCAUUAACACCCUCAGUGAAGAGUGCCUAGUCUUGAGUUAUGAAGGAUGCACCAAUUUAGUAUUAUUCAGACUGGUGUCAACAUUGUCCAAGGUGAUGCAUUACACAACUCUCAGUGACCACAGCAAGGGCUCCUGUCACUAAAGAAUUAUUUAAUCUUCAGAGUAAAAGCUAAAUGAAUAGUCAGGGCUAAACCAGGGCAUCAUAUUUAACCUCAAGCAUAAUGGUACUGUAGUCAUUGUCUUGGGCAGGAGGGAAAAAAGUAGACCAAAUAUUCCCCAGGAAUUUACUGAAAUGGCUGCAGUAUGACUGGGCAAGAAGAUUUUGAUGGAGAGCAGUGAAACUCACAAAGCACCUUCUUUUUUUUUUUUUUCCUGUUCUUAUUUAAAACCACACAAAAUCAUUGAGAAGUAAUGAAAUAUCAUUUACCCUAUGCCAGCACAAACAACUCCUCCAUGUCAGGCAAAGAAGACACCAUCUGUCAUUUUUUCUCUUCAAGUUAUAGAAUAAAGAACUGACUAAAACAUUUUGGGGCAUAAUUUCGAGAGAAACUUUACCAUGGCCUAUGAAGAACCAGUGGCAGAGAACCAGUACCUCUAGCUCUGGAAAGGGUCUGAGCAACUCCUGGCUGAACAGAACUGGUCAACAAGCAAACUCUACUCUCUGUAAAUCAGCAUUCAAAGUCUAGCAAGAUCUAAUACCCCAGAUGUUGUCCUGGUUUCACCUAAUGUACAAAUGUUAAGAUACUUGAAACAUGUGGCAAGAUAUGUGAUCUAUUUAUCUAGCAGAUGUAACCUAAAUAAAUUCCUUUUUUUUUUUUUUUCCCCCAACAGUAAGAAGCAUUACUCCAAGCAGGAGCACUGGCAAAUUUUAUGUAGGUCUGACUGAGAGGACAGAGAACUGCAAAAGGCUAAGAGAAAAGCAAAGAACAUGGCCUAGAUGUGUAUAGUUCCUUCUGCACAACAAAUAUUUGAAGACUCUUCAGUGAAGAUUCCUAAGUGAGGAGUCUUCAGUCUGAAAGAAGAGUGACAAUUGAAUGAGGUCCAUAACAGAUGUCAAGAAAGCCCAAGUACACAGAGCUAUUGAAUGGGGAUUAACUGUUCACUGUGUUCCAGCACCAGAGCUAGGGAGGGCACCACAUGAAAGUAACAGAAGGCAGAUAGAAAACACGCAAACAGAGAUGGUUUUCCUCACAGCACAUGGCAGAUUUUUGGACAGUAUUAUUUUACACAGGUUUGAAAAGUGAGUAGGCAAAUUCAUAGGAGAAAAAUCCAUAACCAGUAAUUAAUUUAAUCAAGUCCUAUAAAAAUAUCUGUCUGCAAAUGGUCAAAAGGUGAGAGAGUGUAUGUGUGAAAAUUAAUUUGUGAUUAACUUGUUAUAUUCAUCUACAGGUAGCUGCCCUUGGCCAUUGCAAGAGACAUUCUUAUAUUCUUUCAAGUGUAUUAUGAAACUAUGAAAAUCAUUAUGGAUGUCUUAAAUACUACUAUAAUAUUUUACAGAAGUAUACUAUACUGUUUUGGCAAUUUAAGGAACAUUAUGCCAUAAAUGCCCCACAUUUUCUCUGGGGCAUGAGUUGCCCACUUCUUUUUACUUUCUCCUAAAGAUAAUAGGAUUUAUGCCGGAGGUGAAAUAAUAUUCUAAAUUUGCAGUCUCCUGUUCUGGUUGCUUAGACUAUCUCAAAAAGAAUGCAAAUGCCAUUCUUAAACUUAAACCUAUUUCAAUACUGAUAUUGCAUUUUUUUUCAUGAUUUUCAAUCUUGAGCUGAAAUCAGUCUCAUAAAUAUUCUGGGUCUUGUAUCACACAGUAACUUCUGCUUCCUGAAAAAAAAAAAAAACCAAACACCAAAACACAGAAAUUCAAAAAUAUUGUGGGAGAUCAGUGAAUAAGUAAUGAUAUUUUUCUUCCAUUAAGCAGCACCAGGGAAAAAAAAAAAUAAACAAAACCACAAUCAACCUAAAGCCAAAGAAAAAAAUGCCAGAAAUAAAAUGAGCAUAAAAGAAAUAAUUGAAGAAAAGAAUAAUGGCAGUAUAGGAAAAAAAGAUAAUUAAAAAUUCACUUAUCAACCCCCCCAUAUCUCCUGUUAAAAUGAAUAGAUAAAAUUUAAUCUACUGGCCUGUGUGAAGCGUGAAUUUCAUUAUUAAAAGGCUAGAUAAUGUGGGAUAGUAAAUCCAAUUUGCUGGGUGCCUUUAAAUGCUAAACCCCUUUCUCUGUAACUGACUUAAACUGCCAUCUGUCAUGUUGCCAGACACUUUCUGCAGAAAUCAAGAGCUUCAAAAUUUCUCUAGUUUGACAUGGCUUGAGCUGUCUUUAAAUGACACAAAAAAACCAAUCCAGAGAUGACCAAGAACUCAGACAGAUGCAUGUAGAGCACAGAAAUGCAGGACACGUGCACAGGUAAUCACAGCCUGCUGCACAGUGGACACAGGCACACAGAGCACUCAUAAACACAGCACAAACAGCAUCAUCCUACUCCCUCCCCUGGCUGAGCAGGACAGUGAGGAUGUAGAUCCAGCAGCUGUCCCUGGAUCCCAGCCUCCCGAGUUGUUGGCACUGGGUGUGGGAGCAUCCGAGGUACAGGACCUCUCAGAGAGUGACAACACUGAGACAAGCACUCCGUGGUCUCACACAGACACAGCACCUGCCUUUGCCCUGGAGACCCCCAGACCCUGCCAUCUCUCCAGCAGCUGUGACUCAUCUGGGCCCCCAAGAGAGAGCUCCUCCCUAAACCCAGGGAAAAACAAGGAGUUAGAAAUUAAUAUGAUAAGAAGAUAGGUCAGAUUCUGCUAAUUGGGCACAUGGGAAAGGCAGACAAGCAUAAUUAUUUAGAAACAACCAGCCUUUCUGUCAUCUUAUCUCUCUGUUUUCCUUCACUUGUUCUUCCCCAAAUCAGCUAAAUUCUUUCCUUUCCCAUCUUUGGUAUUUCCCGAAACAGCCCAUUAUAAAUCCUCUGCAAUCCUAAAAUGUUCUUCCUCUAACACAUUCUAUGCCUCUCAGCAGAAACCCCCUCAGUUCAAAAGCUGCUCCAGCCUUGAUUUUUAUUAUGACACAUGUCACAGCCAGGUAACACCACAUGGGGUGGUGGGUUCCCUGUGAGAGCUCUGGAAAAAACCUGGACAGGACACAGCUCCCACCUGGCUUUGGGCUCCUGUGUUGCUCUGGCUGUGUUCAGGUGGGCUCUGAGGAGCUGGUGGCUCCUUGGGAGCAGCCAGGAUUGGGUGUUCCUGGGCCCUUCCGUGUGCCACAGGCUCCCUGUGCUCCACUGGGGGCGUGCGCAAGGGAACAUUUUAACAUCACAGACAUGGUCACGGAAUCCACAGAUCCCUUUGAGUCCCUUUGCGUCUGGGACCCGUUGCAGGUUCUCAAAAUACAACUGAGAUUAUGUAACCAAAGAUCUCACGCAUAUCUGGAGAUGUCAGCAUGAACCUAGCCAGAGCUACUUGCCCUGCUCACCUCCCUGAGAUGCUGGUUUUCUUUAGCUGACAAGCAAUGUAGCUGGAAAUAGGGAAUCAGAGGCUGGAGAGCAGCACCACAGAGAGGGAUGGUGGUGGUCCUGGUCGGUAGCAAGUUGGAUCUAAGUCAAGCGCCCUGGCAGCCAGGAGGGCCAGCCCUGUCCUGGAGUGUAUCAGGCCCAGCAUCCCCAGGGGGCAAGGGAGGGGAUUAUCCCACUCUGCUCUGGGCUGGGGUGGCUUCACUUCCAGUGCUGGGGGCAGUUUGGGAAACCACAAUGUAACAAAGACAUUGAGCUAUCAGAGAGUGUCCAAAGGAGGUGGUGAAGGACCUUGAGGAGAAGCCUUGUGAAGAGUGGCGGAGGGCACUUGGUCUGUUCAGCCUGGAGGAGAGACUGAGAGGAGACUUAACUGGAGUCUGCAGCUGCCUCCUGAGGAAAAAGGAGAGGCAGGCACUGAUCUUUUGCCUGUGGUGCGCAGAGGCUCAGAAAAAGCAUCAACAGGACCUGAGGGAAUGGCCUGAACCUGUGUCAGGGGUAUCAAGAAAAGGUUCUUCCCCCAGUUGAGGGGGAAGAUUAACGUUAAAAUGAAAAUGUCUCAAAUUGUUUGGAUUUUAUGCUGAACUGUUGCUUAAAAAUUUUGUUUACUAACGUUAAAUUUAAAAGCACUAGAAAAGCCACACGUGCCUUGGCAGUGACACGUGCCCAGGGAGAACGAGCAGCUGCGGAUCGGCGGGAGGAGGAGGUCAGAGAGGCUCCGUCGCUACGAUGACUUCCCCGAGCAACCCCCUUCGAGCCCCCCUCGAGGCAGGGGGGAGGCUCCGUCGCUAGGACGAUCAGACUGUGGGAGGGGCCAGGCUGUAUAUAAGGAAUUACGAGCCGCCCCGCAGCGCCCAGCCCCUAGCCUGGAGCCCUAAGCACUACCUCAGCUCGCCGCCGCUGCCCCGCCGCCGCUGCCGCUGCCGCCGCCCUGCCUCGAGGCGCGAUGAUCCCGAUGCCACCCGGCACAUGCUGCGAUUCUUUCAGCAAACACAGGUCUUCCAUGCAGACAAGCUAUGGGACGGAGGGAAGAGCAGGAGCGGAAAGAGAAGCAAACCGGAGGCUGUCCCGAUCCAGAGGAUGCAGAGAGAAGAUGUGUGAAAAACCAAGGAAGUAAUACAGGACAGUUAUAAUGUUGUUGAUGCUUAUUGUACUUUGCUAAAAUAAAGAACGAAAUAUGUAAAUCCUGUAUCCAUUAGGAAGAGUUUCCAGAAUUUCAAACUGUUUCUCUAGAAAACAGAAUUCAGUCACGUUUCAGCGCAGGCUUUUGGCAUGCUCUUGAUUAAUGUUAACCUAAAUGACCAACGUUAAUAUUCCCCAGGAACAGAUAACAUUGUAAACGUUUUCCAACAUUUAACGUUGUACAACCAAAAGUUUUCCAACAUUUAACAUUGUAAAAGUUUUCCAAAACUAAGUGUCCAGUUAUACAUUUUAACAAAUUAAACUUCGGUGUUGUUUCCUA